ensembl:lncRNA
AAAAAAAACAGCGAUCCGUCCUGCACAACUAUGCCGACUGACUGUAAGUAUUCAUAUGAGUGUAUCAUGAUUAUAUUAUGACUAUGUCUAUGUGAAUCAGCUGUUUAUAUCUGACCGUAGCUGCGAUUACUUCACAGCGAAUUGCGGUGCCGGAGGCGAGAGCGUGAAACAGCAGCAGGGUCCACGUGGAAAUUUGCCUGAUAUUCGGCUCAACAUUCAAAGACCGAUUCUAGCAGACCAGACUAAUGUGCUGACAAGCGGUAGUUUUGUACCUAUCGAGGCCAAUGUCAUUCAGCGAACCCCCGGACCAAAUCGACUGUCCAAGAAGAAUUUGAAAAGAUC